rnacentral:rRNA from 1 species
CCUACGGGUGGCAGCAGUGGGGGAUAUUGCACAAUGGGGGAAACCCUGAUGCAGCAACGCCGCGUGAGGGAAGAAGGUUUUCGGAUUGUAAACCACUGUUCUUGGUGAAGAUAAUGACGGUAACUAAUUAGAAAGCUCCGGCUAACUACGUGCCAGCAGCCGCGGUAAUACGUAGGGGGCAAGCGUUGUCCGGAUUUACUGGGUGUAAAGGGUGCGUAGGCGGUCUUGCAAGUCAGACGUGAAAUGCACGGGCUCAACCUGUGGACUGCGUUUGAAACUGUGGGGCUAGAGUGAAGUAGAGGUAAGUGGAAUGCCCGGUGUAGCGGUGAAAUGCGUAGAGAUCAGGAGGAACACCAGUGGCGAAGGCGGCCUACUGGGCUUUAACUGACGCUGAGGCACGAAAGCGUGGGUAGCAAACAGGAUUAGAUACCCGGGUAGUC